rnacentral:tRNA from 1 species
GUGGUGGCUCAGUGGCAGAGCGCUUGCCUAGCAUGUGUGAGGCACCGGGUUCGAUCCUCAGAACCACG